rnacentral:rRNA from 1 species
AUUGAACGCUGGCGGCAGGCUUAACACAUGCAAGUCGAACGGUAGCAGGAGAAAGCUUGCUUUCUUGCUGACGAGUGGCGGACGGGUGAGUAAUGCUUGGGAAUCUGGCUUAUGGAGGGGGAUAACGACGGGAAACUGUUGCUAAUACCGCGUAUUAUCGGAAGAUGAAAGUGCGGGACUGAGAGGCCGCAUGCCAUAGGAUGAGUCCAAGUGGGAUUAGGUAGUUGGUGGGGUAAAGGCCUACCAAGCCUGCGAUCUCUAGCUGGUCUGAGAGGAUGACCAGCCACACUGGAACUGAGACACGGUCCAGACUCCUACGGGAGGCAGCAGUGGGGAAUAUUGCGCAAUGGGGGGAACCCUGACGCAGCCAUGCCGCGUGAAUGAAGAAGGCCUUACGGUUGUAAAGUUCUUUCGGUAUUGAGGAAGGUUGAUGUGUUAAUAGCACAUCAAAUUGACGUUAAAUACAGAAGAAGCACCGGCUAACUCCGUGCCAGCAGCCGCGGUAAUACGGAGGGUGCGAGCGUUAAUCGGAAUAACUGGGCGUAAAGGGCACGGGGCGGUUAUUUAAGUGAGGUGUGAAAGCCCCGGGCUUAACCUGGGAAUUGCAUUUCAGACUGGCGACUAGAGUACUUUACGGAGGGGUAGAAUUCCACGUGUCUCGGUCAAAUGCGUAUAGAUGUGGAGGAAUACCGAAUGCUAAUGCUGCCCCUUGGGAAUGUACUGACGCUCAUGUGCGAAAGCGUGGGGAGGAAGCAGG